CGAAUGCUGACAUAAGUAACGAUAAAGCGGGUGAAAAGCCCGCUCGCCGGAAGACCAAGGGUUCCUGUCCAACGUUAAUCGGGGCAGGGUGAGUCGACCCCUAAGGCGAGGCCGAAAGGCGUAGUCGAUGGGAAACAGGUUAAUAUUCCUGUACUUGGUGUUACUGCGAAGGGGGGACGGAGAAGGCUAUGUUGGCCGGGCGACGGUUGUCCCGGUUUAAGCGUGUAGGCUGGUUUUCCAGGCAAAUCCGGAAAAUCAAGGCUGAGGCGUGAUGACGAGGCACUACGGUGCUGAAGCAACAAAUGCCCUGCUUCCAGGAAAAGCCUCUAAGCAUCAGGUAACAUCAAAUCGUACCCCAAACCGACACAGGUGGUCAGGUAGAGAAUACCAAGGCGCUUGAGAGAACUCGGGUGAAGGAACUAGGCAAAAUGGUGCCGUAACUUCGGGAGAAGGCACGCUGAUAUGUAGGUGAAGUCCCUCGCGGAUGGAGCUGAAAUCAGUCGAAGAUACCAGCUGGCUGCAACUGUUUAUUAAAAACACAGCACUGUGCAAACACGAAAGUGGACGUAUACGGUGUGACGCCUGCCCGGUGCCGGAAGGUUAAUUGAUGGGGUUAGCGCAAGCGAAGCUCUUGAUCGAAGCCCCGGUAAACGGCGGCCGUAACUAUAACGGUCCUAAGGUAGCGAAAUUCCUUGUCGGGUAAGUUCCGACCUGCACGAAUGGCGUAAUGAUGGCCAGGCUGUCUCCACCCGAGACUCAGUGAAAUUGAACUCGCUGUGAAGAUGCAGUGUACCCGCGGCAAGACGGAAAGACCCCGUGAACCUUUACUAUAGCUUGACACUGAACAUUGAGCCUUGAUGUGUAGGAUAGGUGGGAGGCUUAGAAGUGUGGACGCCAGUCUGCAUGGAGCCGACCUUGAAAUACCACCCUUUAAUGUUUGAUGUUCUAACGUUGACCCGUAAUCCGGGUUGCGGACAGUGUCUGGUGGGUAGUUUGACUGGGGCGGUCUCCUCCUAAAGAGUAACGGAGGAGCACGAAGGUUGGCUAAUCCUGGUCGGACAUCAGGAGGUUAGUGCAAUGGCAUAAGCCAGCUUGACUGCGAGCGUGACGGCGCGAGCAGGUGCGAAAGCAGGUCAUAGUGAUCCGGUGGUUCUGAAUGGAAGGGCCAUCGCUCAACGGAUAAAAGGUACUCCGGGGAUAACAGGCUGAUACCGCCCAAGAGUUCAUAUCGACGGCGGUGUUUGGCACCUCGAUGUCGGCUCAUCACAUCCUGGGGCUGAAGUAGGUCCCAAGGGUAUGGCUGUUCGCCAUUUAAAGUGGUACGCGAGCUGGGUUUAGAACGUCGUGAGACAGUUCGGUCCCUAUCUGCCGUGGGCGCUGGAGAACUGAGGGGGGCUGCUCCUAGUACGAGAGGACCGGAGUGGACGCAUCACUGGUGUUCGGGUUGUCAUGCCAAUGGCACUGCCCGGUAGCUAAAUGCGGAAGAGAUAAGUGCUGAAAGCAUCUAAGCACGAAACUUGCCCCGAGAUGAGUUCUCCCUGACCCUUUAAGGGUCCUGAAGGAACGUUGAAGACGACGACGUUGAUAGGCCGGGUGUGUAAGCGCAGCGAUGCGUUGAGCUAACCGGUACUAAUGAACCGUGAGG
rnacentral:rRNA from 1 species